AUUCCUCGUACACAGCAAUAAUACUUGAUGUGGACAGUCGAAUGCCAUUUUGGACAGGCUUUCUAGAAGACUUAACCUUUCCAAAUAUAAGAAGAAUGCUGUAGACAAGGCUUCUUGUGGAAAAACCUGGUGGCCCACCAAUGUUCUUAUUGCUGAGCUUGUGGUAUGACUUAAUACCUGAAAAUGAUAUGGUCAGUUUGGUGUCAAUGUAUUACAUUAAACUGGUUAAAACCUGGGCUGCAGUUCCAACA